rnacentral:rRNA from 1 species
GAAGCGGCAAAAGCUCAAAUUUGAAAUCUGGCACUUUCAGUGUCCGAGUUGUAAUUUGAAGAAGGUAUCUUUGGGUCUGGCUCUUGUCUAUGUUUCUUGGAACAGAACGUCACAGAGGGUGAGAAUCCCGUGCGAUGAGAUGUCCCAGACCUAUGUAAAGUUCCUUCGAAGAGUCGAGUUGUUUGGGAAUGCAGCUCUAAGUGGGUGGUAAAUUCCAUCUAAAGCUAAAUAUUGGCGAGAGACCGAUAGCGAACAAGUACAGUGAUGGAAAGAUGAAAAGAACUUUGAAAAGAGAGUGAAAAAGUACGUGAAAUUGUUGAAAGGGAAGGGCUUGAGAUCAGACUUGGUAUUUUGUAUGUUACUCUCUCGGGGGUGGCCUCUACAGUUUACCGGGCCAGCAUCAGUUUGAGCGGUAGGAUAAGUGCAAAGAAAUGUGGCACUGCUUCGGUAGUGUGUUAUAGUCUUUGUCGAUACUGCCAGCUUAGACUGAGGACUGCGGCUUCGGCCUAGGAUGUUGGCAUAAUGAUCUUAACUCGCCCGUCUUGACCGACGGGAC